GACGAACGCUGGCGGCGUGCCUAACACAUGCAAGUCGAACGAGAUCCAUGGGAGCUUGCUCCCGGAAGAUCUAGUGGCGAACGGGUGAGUAACACGUGAGAAACCUGCCCUGGAGUGGGGAAUAACUCGGGGAAACUCGAGCUAAUACCGCAUACCCUCGGAUGGUCGCAUGGCCGACCGAGGAAAAGAUUUUAUCGCUCUAGGAGGGUCUCGCGGCCUAUCAGCUAGUUGGUGGGUAACGCUACCAAGGCAACGACGGGUAGCUGGUUUGAGAGAACGAUCAGCCACACUGGGACUGAGACACGGCCCAGACUCCUACGGGAGGCAGCAGUGGGGAAUCUUGCGCAAUGGGCGAAAGCCUGACGCAGCAACGCCGCGUGC
rnacentral:rRNA from 1 species